CCGCCAUUAGCUCAGCGUGGCCAGAGUAUUGCUUUAUUUACAGUAGGGGCGGGGUUCGAGCCCUUGAUGGCGGCCCA
rnacentral:tRNA from 1 species